UUUCUCCAACUCACAAUCACAGAAACCUGUAACUCCAUCAAAGUUGUUAUGGGUGUCUUGGUGGCUUCCCUCACUAGUCUCCUUCUUGCACAGU